rnacentral:lncRNA from 1 species
GGGUGAAUUAGUGCAGCGGAAAUCUUUCAGCGAUUAAAAACGAAAGCUGCGUUCGUUCGAUAAAAACUAUUUUGAUGCAAAAGCCGAUUCUAAGAUUACUUAUGAUUAAGUGCAGUUUACGUCUAAACACAGUUUGCGUCUAAACGCAGUUUGCGUCUAAAUGCAGAUUGCGUCUAAGCUCAGAUUGCGUCUAAGCGCAGUUU